GGGAUGUGCUGUAUGAUACUCUCUCACGAUGCUAUGCAGUGGCAGUGAUCCACAGCUCCCAGGCAGCCAUGUGGCCAGGAGGAUAAACAACUGAUACGAUACAGUGUACUGUGUUGCUGAACCAUGAUGUUUGUUUUAAAUGAGAAGAAGAUAGGAAGAGUGAUAGAGCCUUACAGAACCACAAGUAUUCUUGAAGAUCUCUUGGACCCCUGGUUCUUUUUUUCUCUUCAGAUUACAGGGACAGUUUAACUAACUUCAGAAGAUGAUGCUUCAUGUACAUGUUUUAUUUCAAAUAGUUCUUGAGUCUCCUGAAAAUCAUCAGCAGUUGCAGAGUUUCUGGUCUACUUCCUAGUCUAUGAUCCACUUUGAGUCAACAUGUGUACAGGAUAUCAAUGGAAAAGUCAAAUUGAUAAACAGACAUGCUAGAAUUUUCUGACAAGGAUGUUUUUAAAAACUCUGAUAAAGGUGAUAUGAUAAGCAGUUAGGACUAAAGACAGAAUUAAAAUAUCUUGAAAGUAGUGAGAAAUUCUACUUGUAGGAGAAAAUAAAUUCAAAUGACAGUGGAUUUUUCACCAGAAUGUAUGCAGAUUCAAAGCAAGUGGGAUAUUCUAGGGAGAUUAUGAAUUAACUAGAAAGAUG